rnacentral:sRNA from 2 species
UCAGAUGUUGAACGUGAAGGAUAACGUUGCGUCAGCAACGGCCCGUAGGGCAAGGCGAAGCCGAGUCAUCCUGCACGACCCACCA